CGAACAUGCAACACGACUAGUAUGCUCUCGAGCUCGGUAAUGCGCACAUCAUGGACGAGAGUGGGCGCGCAAGGCACAGGCACAGGCAUAGGCACAGGCACGGGCACAGGCACAGGCGAGCGACCCUCGCCACGACCCAGUCGGCGGGCGGGCGCACGGAACAGGUUGCCUUGCGGCAGGGUGGGAUGGAUGUGGUGUCGUCGUCAUCGUCUUCAUCGCCUUCAUCGUCUUCGAUUGUGGACUGACAACAGAGGAAGUGAUAGAUAUCGUAGCAUGUGAAUCCCAAAGUGCGUGCCCCUGAUUGGGCCAAGGCCCAAGGCCCUCAGGUCUCUGCCAUUAGCUACUCGACAUGUUUACUUACCAGAGACAGACUGCUUCAAGCAUUCACCUUUGGCCAAGCCGCUGCCAAAGUGCCAAACGUCUCUGUAUAACGGCGGCGCUGUAUAACGCUUCGACCUCCCUCGUGUAUGUGGAAGCAUUACAAGUGACCCGUCAGCGUGGACUUUGCUACCCGGCACCUCAGCCCCGGCCCCCGCCCCCUUCACUUCUGGCCCGAAGAAGACAGUUCAUUUUCAGGAUGCUUUAAGGACACGGACUGCUUGCAUUUCGUACAGGGCAUCAAAGAGGACGUCGUCGACAGCCCGCAAGGGAUACAGUUGUUAACGUAUACAAGGGGGAGGCGUCGACUAUGGCGAGGACGAAAACACAAACAUGGCAACCGAGCACCGAGCACCGAGCACCGAGCACCGGGAAGGGUCCGCCUCUGCCUGCUCUCGGCUGCAGUUGAAGGAAUGGAAUGGAAACGAAACGAAAGGAAAGGAGCACUUUAUGUGCAUAUAAUAUCUGAAUGUUCGCCGCACCAUCCUCAGCCACACACACACACGUACGAUCCACCCAGCCAGACAGACACAUGUAUACGUAGGACACAGUGUCAUCCAAGUUGCGGGGAAUUGUUAAUAUUGUCUGUGCGCCUGUAAGCAGCAUUUACAUGCUGGCCGACACCACGUACCACGUCCUGGCUGAUAGAAGAGCUCAUGUGUGGCUGGUGCCCUCUCUGACGGAACGGAAGGGCUCUGCUAGCCGCUCGGCUUUAAAUGCUGUACGAGUAUCAACUUAUGAAGCUGGCCGCCGCUUUCAUUAGAUCCAGAGGAUGAACCUAGUUCAGAACUUGUCUGGAUUGAAAACUGACACGCCAUCAAUAAAAUAAUGUUCUCGGAUCGAUAUGAGCAUCUGGAACAGAAGACGGAUGGAUGGAUGGAUGGAUGGAUCGAAAAU